UAUAAAGUAUUUUACUUUUGUUAGAA
rnacentral:tRNA from 1 species